GAUGAACGCUGGCGGAAUGCUUUACACAUGCAAGUCGAACGGCAGCACGGACUUCGGUCUGGUGGCGAGUGGCGAACGGGUGAGUAAUGUAUCGGAACGUGCCCAGUCGUGGGGGAUAACGUAGUGAAAAUUACGCUAAUACCGCAUACGAUCUAUGGAUGAAAGCGGGGGAUCGCAAGACCUCGCGCGAUUGGAGCGGCCGAUAUCAGAUUAGGUAGUUGGUGGGGUAAAGGCCCACCAAGCCAACGAUCUGUAGCUGGUCUGAGAGGACGACAAGCCACACUGGAACUGAGACACGGUCCAGGCUCCUACGGGAGGCAGCAGUGGGGAAUUUUGGACAAUGGGCGAAAGCCUGAUCCAGACAUUCCACGUGCAGGAUGAAGGCCCUCGGGUUGUAAACUGCUUUUGUACAGAACGAAAAGGUUUCUACUAAUACUAGGAGCUCAUGACGGUACUGUAAGAAUAAGCACCGGCUAACUACGUGCCAGCCGCCGCAGUAA
rnacentral:rRNA from 1 species